AUUUAUCAUUUCAUUCUGUGUAAUGAAAAAGAGAAUUACUGUUAACCUAUGUUAAUUUAUAAAACGAGCUGACAGUCUAUCAAAUAUUAGAAGACAAUACUCUGUUACUAGUAACAUCGCCAUUCUAUGAUAAAAAUCUAAAAACAUUGAGAAAAAGGUCACAUGAACUGAAUAAACAGUAUUGCACAUUGUCCAUCUACUGUUGAGCACCACAGAGCUUUUAGGUAAAAAACAAAAAACUACUAGCUCUUUGUGGUUUUAUAUAUUUAUAUUUAUUAUCUAACAGGUCUGAUGUAG